AAAUUGAAGAGUUUGAUCAUGGCUCAGAUUGAACGCUGGCGGCAGGCCUAACACAUGCAAGUCGAACGGUAACAGGAAGCAGCUUGCUGCUUUGCUGACGAGUGGCGGACGGGUGAGUAAUGUCUGGGAAACUGCCUGAUGGAGGGGGAUAACUACUGGAAACGGUGGCUAAUACCGCAUAACGUCGCAAGACCAAAGAGGGGGACCUUCGGGCCUCUUGCCAUCAGAUGUGCCCAGAUGGGAUUAGCUUGUUGGUGAGGUAACGGCUCACCAAGGCGACGAUCCCUAGCUGGUCUGAGAGGAUGACCAGCCACACUGGAACUGAGACACGGUCCAGACUCCUACGGGAGGCAGCAGUGGGGAAUAUUGCACAAUGGGCGCAAGCCUGAUGCAGCCAUGCCGCGUGUAUGAAGAAGGCCUUCGGGUUGUAAAGUACUUUCAGCGGGGAGGAAGGUGUUGUGGUUAAUAACCACAGCAAUUGACGUUACCCGCAGAAGAAGCACCGGCUAACUCCGUGCCAGCAGCCGCGGUAAUACGGAGGGUGCAAGCGUUAAUCGGAAUUACUGGGCGUAAAGCGCACGCAGGCGGUCUGUCAAGUCGGAUGUGAAAUCCCCGGGCUCAACCGGGAACUGCAUUCGAAACUGGCAGGCUUGAGUCUUGUAGAGGGGGGUAGAAUUCCAGGUGUAGCGGUGAAAUGCGUAGAGAUCUGGAGGAAUACCGGUGGCGAAGGCGGCCCCCUGGACAAAGACUGACGCUCAGGUGCGAAAGCGUGGGGAGCAAACAGGAUUAGAUACCCUGGUAGUCCACGCCGUAAACGAUGUCUACUUGGAGGUUGUGCCCUUGAGGCGUGGCUUCCGGAGCUAACGCGUUAAGUAGACCGCCUGGGGAGUACGGCCGCAAGGUUAAAACUCAAAUGAAUUGACGGGGGCCCGCACAAGCGGUGGAGCAUGUGGUUUAAUUCGAUGCAACGCGAAGAACCUUACCUGGUCUUGACAUCCACAGAAGAAUCCAGAGAUGGAUUUGUGCCUUCGGGAACUGUGAGACAGGUGCUGCAUGGCUGUCGUCAGCUCGUGUUGUGAAAUGUUGGGUUAAGUCCCGCAACGAGCGCAACCCUUAUCCUUUGUUGCCAGCGAUUAGGUCGGGAACUCAAAGGAGACUGCCAGUGAUAAACUGGAGGAAGGUGGGGAUGACGUCAAGUCAUCAUGGCCCUUACGACCAGGGCUACACACGUGCUACAAUGGCGUAUACAAAGAGAAGCGACCUCGCGAGAGCAAGCGGACCUCAUAAAGUGCGUCGUAGUCCGGAUUGGAGUCUGCAACUCGACUCCAUGAAGUCGGAAUCGCUAGUAAUCGUGGAUCAGAAUGCCACGGUGAAUACGUUCCCGGGCCUUGUACACACCGCCCGUCACACCAUGGGAGUGGGUUGCAAAAGAAGUAGGUAGCUUAACCUUCGGGAGGGCGCUUACCACUUUGUGAUUCAUGACUGGGGUGAAGUCGUAACAAGGUAACCGUAGGGGAACCUGCGGUUGGAUCACCUCCUUACCUGAAAGAAGC
rnacentral:rRNA from 1 species